CUCUAACUGCUGCUGUUUUUAAGUUUCAUUUCAAUGAUUUGCCUUUACAAGACGACAUUUUUAGAAAUAACUGAAAAACACUUUUAAGUUAAACACAUACAUUACUGACUGCAGGUUGAUGCAACCUUUCUCCUCGCAACAAACCGGCAUCCUCAAAGUUGCUGCAUUAGGGAUGUUAAUAAUGAACCUUUUAACCAUUUACCAACAUUAAUAACUUUAACCGAUUAAUGCUAUCGGUUAAAAGAAAUAUUCAAAAUAGCUAAAAAGCUGAGCAAACCUAAGAGGAGCAGCUUGUCACUUCAAGGAGAAUAGCUGGUCCACCUUAACAGCCCACCUUAAGUGAGUCUGAGCCGGCGUUACAGAUACAGGAGCUUGGCUUGGGUUUUGAGAAGUUGUGUACAACUGUACACACACUGCACAGCUACAACGCCACCGACAACCCCACACUCACCGCCGCCGCCACACACACACACACACACACGGCCUGUCGGAUACUCGCUAAACCAGGCAGACACACUGCUGACCACCUCGCAGCCUAACUAAAUGGUGCGGUGCAGACUUACUGGGACAAUACACGCAGCGUCAUGGCUGCUGCAGUAACUCUCCCGGACGGGUGAACUGGGGACUCAGUUGUCUGUUUUACGCAUACACUGCAGCUGCCGAUAAAUGAUGGAUUUAACCUGUUUGUGCAUCGGCUUAUCGUUGCAGCAGGGCGGCGUGUAAGGCACUAAAAAUAACACCGCUGCAUGGGUUAUGGUAAUCUUGUUGGAUAAUGGUUAAUAAUCGGUUAACGAGGGUCGGUUAUCGGUU